rnacentral:lncRNA from 1 species
AUAUUUUCUGCUAUUCAUGCUUGAUUUUUAAAUAUUUUGGAUAUCUUGCACAAGAAAAUUAGAAUUUUGAAUCUAUUUUUGAACUAUUGACCUCGUGGGAAAUUAAUGUGUUUUCAGAUCUUAGGUUACUGAACAGGCAGAGCCGGGCAGUGAAACUGAAUAGUGAUUCAUCAUGUGCUGCAAAGAAGCUAUACAAUUUAGUUCCGGAUGUUCGUAACCAUUUUCAAAUAGCUGAGAUGAAGGUCUACAAAACAUAUGAAGGGCAUAUAACUCAGUUUUGUUGUUUCGAAGCCCAAAAA